rnacentral:rRNA from 1 species
UUUGAAUGUAAAUUCUAUUACUUGAGUAGUAAUAGUUAUGGUCUUGAAACUUAAAGAAUUUGGCGGUAUUUUAGUCUAUUUAGAGGAAUCUGUCCCAUAAUCGAUAGUCCACGUUGGAACUUACUUGAUUAGAAAGGUAUGUAUACCGCCGUUUAUUGAAGAUUUUUUUAGGAGAUAUCUUCUUGUUGUUUAUUAAACAGUAUUUCAGGUCAAGGUGCAGCUUAUAAUUAAGGGGAGAUGGAUUACAAUAUUUUAAAGUGUAACGGAUUAAUAAUUUAAAUAUUUAUAUGAAGGUGGAUUUAACAGUAAUUUUUUGUAGAUUAUAAUGAUGAUUUUGGCUCUAAAAUGUGU